rfam:Bombyx mori DNA, contig: Bm_scaf39_contig22657, strain: p50T/Dazao, build 2, whole genome shotgun sequence.
UAAAUUUAAAUUUGUAUGGAGUUGGAACAGCUUCGCUUCGUUUGCACCUAGGGGCGCUGUUCCAACUCCACACAAAUUUAAAUUA